rnacentral:tRNA from 1 species
GUGGGUACAGCUCAGUGGUAGAGCACAUGCUUAGCAUGUGUGAGGUCCUGGGUUCAAUCCCAGCACCUCCA